GCUUGGGCCACACUGGAGGAGGAGAUAGCAAUGCUCUCCCCAAAAGAAGAGCCAGACAAAACAAGUAAGGAUGUCCUGAACAAAUUAAUGCCAUUAAGGAGACCCUUGAAGCCCUGUUUCUUCUUAGAGGAAUCAAUUUUUUAUCAUUUGUUUUUCUUGAAUGAUGAGACGAAAUUACCAAUUUCAAGUGAUCCAUCCAUUUAUGAAAACAAGCCCAAUCAAGAUCUACUAUUCUAAAUGAAAAAUUAACUUUGUUAGCAAAGUCCAGUUACUGAAUAAAACUGAAGAAGGCAUAUUCUCAGAGAAAUUUUUAAAGAUGAGAUAGUGAGAUUCCAUGCAGAGCCAGCACAAGCUGUAAUUACAAGAGGAAAGAGCCCAACUACUGACUCUUGAAUGAGUAAGUGAUCACAUAGGACUAAUUUGUCUCCCCAAUUUUUUGUCCACUUUCUCAUUUCAAGAUGAUGAAUGUUAAUCUUUUAUUAAUCUUCUCACUCUUACUUAAUACUGAAAGAGAGCAUGCUGCAUUGUGCAUUACCACUUCCUUCCUUGGCCUGGAAGUUGCCUGGCAUCUAGGAAGAAAACACAAUGGUGCAGACCACGGGCUCUGGAGCAAGACCGCCCAAGCAGGAACCCUGGACUCAACAUGAUCAGCAGUAACCUUGACCAAGUUAUUUAACCUCUCUACACCUCAUUUUCAUUACUAUAAGAUGGAGCUAUUCAUAGUACCCUUGCCUCAGUGUUGUUGGAAAGAUUAAAUUAUUAAUAUGCAUAAAGUGCCUACCACAGCACUUUGCUGUACAACUUGCUGUUUAACUGUUUGUUAUUCUGUAUGUACAGGAACGAGGAAGUAGCAGGCCCGGAUCCCUAGGGGAAUCAUUACUGCUGGAUAGUCAGAGGAGAUUUAAAAAUGAAGACUUCAGAAAACUCCAUUAGUUGCUACGAAAUGUCUCAGUAUUUUUUCCUCCCAUACAACAAAUAUAUAUAAUUAGUUUUUUGUAUGAGACAGUCCUUUCAACCUAAUAAAUAUGUAUGACCCUCAUAGUAGUAGUUAGAA
rnacentral:lncRNA from 1 species